AGAUUUGUUGCUCUUGCAUUCUAUCUAAAUUUCGGAUAAAGCAGAAGCUAGAAUUGAUAAGAUAUGGAUUUAAAGAUAAAGAGAAUGGAGUAGUUAAGUCUGAAGAAUAAAUAAUUUUGAUAUAAUAGAUUAGUGAUGUUAUUUUAAUCUUUGUAAUAAUGUAAGAUUAGUUAUGAUGUAAUUAAGUGUUAAAUUUUGUAGGGCAGAGAUGAUGUGGAGAUAUGUAUUUGUAAUAAUGUAAAAGUUUGGCUAUUAGUGUGCAUUUACUUUAAAAUGUUAUGUUAACUUAUUAUCUUCCUUAUAUUCACUUUAUAUCCAGUAAUAUAGACUUUUAUCUGCAUUAUUUAUAUAACUCAGUUUUAUUUCC
rnacentral:lncRNA from 1 species